UAGAAAUACAAUUAAUUUUACAUUGAUUUUUAAGGAGUAACAAGAUUUUAUUUUCAUUUUAAUAACUGAUAUUUAGAUUCGUUUGACACACACAACCACAAUCUGCAGAAGAGUUGUUUCUUCCUUUCCAUCUUUGUUGUUUAUAUUCUUUCUCUGAUUCUGCUGUCCAGGAUCUUCUGUACAGCGUAGAAUAGAAGCAGUGAGAGUUGGCAUUCCUUGUCUUGUUUCUGACUUUAAAGCAAAGGCUUUUAAAUGUCUCACCAUUGAAUAUGUGUGCUCUACGUUUUUUGGUAGAUAUUCUUCAUCAAUCUGAAGAAAUUCCCUUUUCUUCUUAGAUUGCCAACUAUGAAUGUUGUUAUGGGCUGAAGUGCUCCCACCUCCAAAUUCGUAUGUUCAAGCCUUAACUCCCAGUACUUCAGAAAGUAGUUGUAUAUGGAGACAGGGCCUUUAAAGAGGUGAUUAAGUUAAAAUGAGGUCGUUAGGGGAGGUCCUAAGCCAAUCUGACUGGAGCUGGAGCCCUUAUAAGGAGAGGAGAUUAGGAUGCAGAGAGAGCUAGGGACAUCACGGGCGGAACGGGGAGGAACGACCACGUGAGGACACAGGGAGGAGGCAGCUGUCUGUAGGCUAAGGAGAGAGGCCUCAGAAGAAACCAACUCUGCAAUAGUUUUAAGUGAGGUUUCAGCAUGUUGAUCACGGGGCCAGGUGGAUUUGUUAAUUUGUCUUCCCACACUCAGAGCUGACCAGAUCAGGAGGUAUGACCAGCAUUUGCUUCCUGGAGAACCCAACCUGCCACAACAGGAAACAUUUAGAUCCUACAAAGUCAGCUGGGAAGAGAAGGAAUUCAGAAAAAAGAAUGAAACACUGAAAACUGUAUAUCAAAUAAGAAGAAUGAUGUGGAUUGUCGACUGGGAGACUAUAAAACCCAUCACUGAGCUCUUCAGGUCACAGAUUUUCCCUAUGGCAAGAACAAAGGCCCAUCAGGUAAAGGUGCAACUUCCCUCCCCCUCCCAACACUGGCGUCUCCUUAAGGAUUAAGCAUCUUUCCUUAGGCUAGAAACUGAUUGCUGCACUCACCUGUGACCGCCCAGCUCAAGACAAUAGACUUGCCUCCUGCUACGCCCAUGAAGAUAGCAGACCCACUACCUGCUGUGUCCAUCAAGCGCUGUGCAGACAGGGCAAUCUUGUGACUAUUGUGGGAGGGACAUUUCAAUCAUAGUGAAACACCCUCUUUGAGGGUAUAUAACCCACCUAUGUACCCCCAUUUCUUUGGAGUGCUCUGUUCCUUUGUGGAAAGACUCUCCCGGGUUAUAAUCCUAAGAUUUAAGCUCAGAAUAAAC
rnacentral:lncRNA from 1 species